AAGCUGACAACGACAACGGGGAGACCGCGGGAGCGAGUACCGACGGAAGACCGAGGCCGAAGGAGUGCGCCGAGCUGCUGCCGCCAUGGCGCAGGAGGAGGGUAGAGCCAACAAGGAAGCGGCCUCGCGCAAGACGAACCGGGCGAAGCGAAAGCAGGCUGCUGCCGACGGUGGUGGCAGUCCUCCUCACUACGCCACCGCCGUCAAGUCGCCGCGUGCAAGACCUGCCACUAAGGACCCGUCUCCACCAACGACGAGGUCUAGGUCGGUGAAGCCGGCAGCGCAGAAAGCCAUCACCACCAGCACUUCUGCUAAGACAAGAAAGGCCUCCGAUGACCCGGCACCAGACGCCGAUGAGAACGUCCCGUCCACCAGCAAGGGACGCCCACAAAGGCCCCCAGAGUGAGCCGCAAGACUCGCGCACGGAGCUCGUCCCAGAGCCAUGCCUCCUCGGCCGCUGCCAAGGGUACCAAGCGUCGCCACCGCUCGCGUAGUCACCGCUCCGGCAGCAGCAGCCACCAUGCCACGGGGGGAAGGAGCCGUGGCAGAUCCCGACACUCGUCCCGCAGCGGCUGAGGUGGCCGCAAGCACAAAGGCAGUCGCCGAGGGACGUUCACCAGCGACUCGUAGAGCAGCCGCAGCAGAAAGAGCGGACGCAAGAGCCGACGCCACCGCUCAGUGAGCAGCUCGUCUGCAGCGAAUGCCAGCGUUGACGGCGGCACAAAAAGGCGCCGGCACGCCCGG
rnacentral:misc_RNA from 1 species